AAGGGUCUUACAUGGACUUUUAUCAUCGUGGGUGUUCAACCGUGGACGUAUUUUCAGGGGGCUUAAAUGCUCGAAGGUUUCUGCUUCGUUUUCUCUAACAGCCUUAUCAAUGGAAACGCCUUCUUAAGGGAUGUUGAGAUUUGUCUCGUUAGCGAUGCCCACAAAAAGAUAUUUGCGGAUUCGGAGAUGAUCAUACCGGACACAUGGCAAAUGCCUCUGUUAGAUUCAGGUGGUUCUGUGAACAGGAGGACCUUGGAGACGCAGCAAUGUGAGAACUGAGGAAGAGUGACUUCAGCUGAGUUUCUUGCAGAGGCUCCAUGGCUGACAUAGACUUCCCACUCCAAGUCAGAGAGUGGUUUAUUUGUUGCCAGAUUUGAUGCCUGUGGCUGUAUCCUGUUUCCGCCUGAAUUUCACAUUUUUAAUUAAUUGGUAAGGUAGAGUUGUUCUGGCCAUACUGCUUCAAAUCUGCUGGAUGUUCUGUUUCGUUAAUGGAUGAAUAAUCAGGAGGUAUGAGGCAUUUCUCUAGGGAUUUUUCCUUCAUUUUCUGAACAUUGCCUAUGGUUGUAAAGCCAAAUUUUGUAUGAAAAUAGGUUUAUGUCCUUUUUUUUUUCUUUUUAAAAAAUCCUAGGUUCCUGUUUAAGCUAAUAUGUUGUAUUAGCAACGUAAUUGUUCUAUGACAAUUGUAUACUAGCUGAAAUUGAUGAAAAGGAUUGUAACCGC